ACCCGCUGAACUUAAGCAUAUCACUAAGCCCAGGAAAAGAAAGCAACUGCGAUGCCCUCAGUAACGGCGAGUGAACUGGGCAAAGCUCACCUCAGAAGCGAUGGGCCCUUUGGGGGUUUAUUGCAUUGUAAGGUGAACCGCCGGUUUUUUGGUGCAGGCUGUGCGAAAGUUGCCUGGAACGGCACACCGCAGAGCGUGAUAGUCGCGUAUCGUCCACGGAACGCUGCAUUGAAAUACUAAUCCGGGUCGGUAAGAGUCGGGCUGUUUGGGACUGCAGCUCUACGUGGGAGAUGUACCCCUCCUAAGGCUGGAGGCAAAUAUCGGCGCAAGACCGAUAGCGAACAAGUAGAGUGAUCGAAAGAUGAAAAGCACUUUGAGAAGAGAAUCAAAAGUACGUGAAACUGUGGAGUGGUAAGGGAUGUCAGCCCAUCGACUGCACUGGGGUCCCCGGACCUCAGGCACGCCAGGUCGAUUGAUGGCGGUCUUAUCGGCUGCGGUUGAGCCUAGGGGCGGCUUGCUUCCCUUAGGUCACCGCGGUGCUGAAGUGCCGUCUUGUCAAUCGUAAAGAAUGCAGGGGUAACCACUUU
rnacentral:rRNA from 1 species